rnacentral:rRNA from 1 species
UGAAGGUCCUCCGGAUUGUAAACUUCUUUCUCUGGGGCGAAAAAUAGGUAUUCUUACUUACUUGACAGUACCAGAGGAAUAAGCACCGGCUAACUCCGUGC